GGUUCAGGACGAACGCUGGCGGCGUGCCUAAUACAUGCAAGUCGAACGGUCUUUCUAUGGAAGCUUGCUUCCACUGAGAAGAUAGUGGCGAACGGGUGAGUAACACCGUGGGUAACCUGCCCAUAAGAGGGGGGAUAACAUCCGGAAACGGGUGCUAAUACCGCAUAGUUUUCUUGAUCGCAUGAUCGGGAAAGGAAAGACGGCCUUCGUGCUGUCGCUUAUGGAUGGACCCGCGGCGUAUUAGUUAGUUGGUGAGGUAAUGGCUCACCAAGACGAUGAUACGUAGCCGACCUGAGAGGGUGAUCGGCCACAUUGGGACUGAGACGCGGCCCAAACUCCUACGGGAGGCAGCAGUAGGGAAUCUUCCGCAAUGGACGAAAGUCGUGACGGAGCAACGCCGCGUGAGUGAAGAAAAGGUUUUCGGAUCGUAAAACUCUGUUGUCAGAGAAGAACAAGUUGGAGAGUAACUGCUCCAGCCUCGACGGUAUCUGACCAGAAAGCCACGGCUAACUACGUGCCAGCCGCCGC
rnacentral:rRNA from 1 species